rnacentral:rRNA from 1 species
GGAUGGGUAAUGGGGUCCCACAGACUUACUGAUCCUAACCAAACUCCGAAUACCGGUGAGUACUAUCUGGCAGACACACUGCGGAUGCUAACGUCCGUAGUGAAGAGGGAAACAACCCUGACCUCCAGCUAAGGCCCCUAAUUCAUGGCUAAGUGGGAAAGCAUGUGAGACGACCAAAACAACCAGGAUGUUGGCUUAGAAGCAGCCAUCAUUUAAAGAAAGCGUAAUAGCUCACUGGUCUAGAUAAGUUGUCUUGCGGCGAAGAUGUAACGGGGCUCAAGCCAUGAGCCGAAGCUGAGGAUAUGCACUAUGUGCAUGUGGUAGCGGAGCGUUCUGUAUGCGGUGAAGGAGAAGGGUGACCGACUCUGGAGCGUACAGAAGUGAGAAUGUUGACAUGAGUAGCGAUAAACAGGGUGAGAGACCCUGUCGCCGUAAGUCCAAGGGUUCCUGCUUAAAGCUAAUCUGAGCAGGGUAAGCCGACCCCUAAGGCGAGGCCGAAAGGCGUAGUCGAUGGGAACCAGGUUAAUAUUCCUGGGCCAGGAGGAUGUGACGGAUCUCGAAGGUUGUUCCCUCUUAUCGGAUUGAGGGGGCUGCUGAGAGGUUCCUGGAAAUAGCCCUCCGCUAGAUCGUACCCUAAACCGACACAGGUGGACUGGUAGAGAAUACCAAGGCGCUUGAGAGAACUAUGUUGAAGGAACUCGGCAAAAUACCUCCGUAAGUUCGCGAGAAGGAGGCCCGGUUUCUAGGCAACUAGAGGCUGGGGGCACAAACCAGGGGGUGGCGACUGUUUACUAAAAACACAGGGCUCUGCGAAGUCGCAAGACGACGUAUAGGGUCUGACGCCUGCCCGGUGCUGGAAGGUUAAAAGGAGAGGUGCAAGCUUUGAAUUGAAGCCCCAGUAAACGGCGGCCGUAACUAUAACGGUCCUAAGGUAGCGAAAUUCCUUGUCGGGUAAGUUCCGACCUGCACGAAUGGCGUAACGAUUUCCCCGCUGUCUCCAACGCAGACUCAGCGAAAUUGAAUUCCCCGUGAAGAUGCGGGGUUCCCGCGGUCAGACGGAAAGACCCCGUGCACCUUUACUACAGCUUCACACUGGCAUCAGGUCAGAGAUGUGCAGGAUAGGUGGUAGGCUUUGAAGCAGGGACGCUAGUCCUUGUGGAGCCAUCCUUGAGAUACCACCCUUCGCUUAUCUGAUGUCUAACCGCGGUCCGUUAUCCGGAUCCGGGACCCUGUGUGGCGGGUAGUU